rnacentral:misc_RNA from 1 species
UCUCCGUAGGUGAACCUGCGGAGGGAUCAUUACCGAGUGAGGGUUCCGGCCCGACCUCCAACCCCAUGUGAACCGAAACCUGUUGCUUCGGGGGCGACCCUGCCGUUUCGACGGCGAGCGCCCCCGGAGGCCUUCAAACACUGCAUCUUUGCGUCGGAGUUUAUACAAAUUAAACAAAACUUUCAACAACGGAUCUCUUGGUUCGGGCAUCGAUGAAGAACGCAGC